AGGGACUAAGAAUGGCCCGGACCAGGAACUAAGGCCGGCCGGGACCAGGGACAAAACCAAACGGCGAGAGCCCCGGGGACAAAGCCAAGCGGUGAGAGCCCAAGGACAAACCGAACGGCGAGAGCCCAGAAGCCACGGUCCGAUGCAGUAACGGUCGAUCUUGAUGCAGCACAAGAGGCAGAAGAGCUGGACUCCGUGCCCCGAGCGACCUUAUAGAAGAGUCUCGGUCGACGACACCGCCGAAGCCUUGCAGGGCUGCAACAGCGCGCUGACGAUUUUCUAUGAAGGAACUAGGACUCCAUCGUGCUGUGAGCCAGUGGGACUUGGAGACGCUUAUAGGGGCCCCCCGACAAGAUUCCGUCGGAUAAGCCUCUCCUAUCCCUCCUUUGACUCUCUUCACUAGUGGACGCCAAACCUUCCUAAUAUUAAACAGAGCUCUGUUUGAGAGUACGUGUGUAUGAGUGCUUGUGUGAAAUGGAGAUAUGCCAUGAAUGCGAAGUCGAUUUACACUUGAUUAUGGGAAACAAAAUCCAAUUAAUAACCUAUUAACCAGUAUGUUUUGAUUUGUUAACUGAGUAGUUUUAGAUUGCUUCAUAAGGGCAUUAUGAUAUUGAAUGUAUUUUUAGGUUCUGCA